GGCUGAUCCCAUCAUAGUAGGUUGUCAGUACUGGCAUUAGCGCCAUGAAAGUUGUAAGCAGUACCCCACUGCUAAAUUUGACUGGCUGAAA
rnacentral:sRNA from 1 species